AGCCUUUUUUAGAUCCCAAAAUGAAGAACCAAUUACAGAAUCAUCUCAUUCCAAUUUUAGAUUCAAUCCAAGAGUGGAGUAAGACAAUUUGAUACAAGAAUACAAGAAUCUUUCUGAAGUCAUCAGUUUCUUCAACUCUUGUGGGUGAAAGAUUUGAGAUACUUUGUUGAGGUGGAAUGAAAUCAGAUUGCGAUUGCAAUGCCAUAAAAUUUUCCUUAUCCAGUUGCACG